rnacentral:rRNA from 1 species
AUGGAUGGAGUGCCCGGGGGCGCGCGCCAGGGGUCGGUUCGCGCGCGGAACAUCUCCGCCUUUCGGUGGAGGCGCGGCCCCGGCCAUGGAUCGUGCGAGAUCUUUGCGCUGCCGUCGUGGGAGCUAGCUGGCCCGCUGGCGUGCGCGGGACGUGACCGAUCGAUCGAUCGCCCGACGUGUCGCGCCGGGGAGGCGGGGAGCGGAGCCGUCGCCCGUCGGCUCGGAUCAGCCGCGUCGAUCGACGUGCGGGUUUCCCGGCUCGGCGACGAAGUGCUGAGAUAUAUUCCUGGGUUGUGGUGCGUGUAUUUUCAGGGGAUUUUUAGGGGUUUUGCCUCGCCUUUUUUCCCCGGCAAGGUCAAAUGCCACAUAUAUUAG